AAUAUGAUCGCUAGAAGCUCGUAGUAAAUUGCUAGGAACAGCACCGUUGCUAGGAACUUUGAGGAAUGGCGUAAAUAAAUGAGCUAGAAUGACCGACAAACUUGAAAAUCACCGAACAUGAAUAUUCCAUAAGCUCGAAGAAAGGAUACUCGCUCGGCUAGUCUUGACUACCAUAACAAAGUAAUUCAAGAAAUAUUUCUGUUUAUACCUGGCAAUGUCGUGACUGUUGAGAGCAUAUUCCAUGAAUUUUGUUGAAGAAUGCAAACUUGAGCAAAAACCGUUUAUAAACCGAGAGACUUUCGGUCGCUUGCUUCAGAAAACAGUUCCUGGUUGCAAAGGAAAAAAGAGGAGGAUUUCUGAGUGGUUUACGGCAAAUCCAGUCAGGCAUAACUCUUUGGGCCCAGCCGUUCAAAGGUUAUGUCAAAAAGCUGGUAUUGAGGGGUAUUUUACGCUACACGUGGGGUUGAAGGUGGCGUUCCGGAUAAGUUUAUUUUGGAGAGAACCGGACAUAGGGACCCAAGAUCUUUGCAACGAUAUCAACGACCUAGCAUUGAGGUGAAACAAGCUAUUUCUAAGUGUUUACAAAGUAGAGGAAAGCCUUUUGCUGAACAGCUCAAGAAAAGGAAAAGCGAUGACGAUUCAAAAGAAGAGACACUGCUUGGAAGAAACAGAACAAAACCAAUCAAGUAUCACCUAUUUUGAAAACUGCACAUUUCAUUUCAAUUAGAAUCAGUUUAUCACUUAAAUGUUUCCACAGUCAGUUCAUUUUAGCAGCUGACAAUUAAAAUUCUGCAGAGUUGCAAUAGUUUUGUGUUUCAGUAACUUAACUUAGUAUAUUUGUAUAGUAUAAUUGAUAUUCAGCAGGGAAAAGUGGGGUUGAUGAAUUAAAUUGAAUUGCUCAUUAUAAAUUCACUGGGCUACAUAUGAGUGACCGGGUAAAAACCUGAAACGUAAACAGCGGAGAGCUGAAAUAGCAGAAAUAGCUGAAAUAGCUGAAAAGCGCAGAACUUCUUAUUAUCAUAGAUAAUAAUCAGUAGACAAAUAUUAUGAAAGAUGAUAUAAUAUAAAUAAUGUCAAACUAAAC